rnacentral:rRNA from 1 species
UACGUAGGGAGCGAGCGUUGUCCGGAAUUACUGGGCGUAAAGAGCUCGUAGGCGGGUCCGUAAGUCCGAGAGGAAAUCUCAAGGCUCAACUUUGGGGCUUUCUUGGAUACUGCGGUUCUUGAGGAUGAGAGAGGUAAGUAGAAUUCCCGGUGUAGCGGUGAAAUGCGUAGAUGUCGGGAGGAAUACCAGUGGCGAAGGCGGCUUACUGGCUCAUUCCUGACGCUGAGGAGCGAAAGCGUGGGGAGCAAACGGG